AUACUACACUCAGCUUCUCCUUGAUUCCCUGUAAAUGGAGUAUUGAAGGCUAGGAAAAAGAGAAGGGGAAAAGGCUAAUGAAAAUGAAGCACAAAUAAAGAAGAAUGAACCAUGCAGUAAGGGAUAGAAUAGCUCAAGAUCUGGAUAUGGAGUAGAUUUUGAUCGAGAAUCUCAAAGGACCUGCAAAUUUUGUCUACGUAGCCUAGCAAAGAAUUAUGAACAAGGUGGGUUUUCCAUCUGUCUCUCCCACAAAUAUGCAAUCUUCUAUGAAGUGGACCAUGAGAAAAUUAAACAUCAGAUUCCUAAUGAAGAAAACCCAAAAAAACUUUGAAUGAAAUGAAAAACAAAC